GGGUAUUCACCUCCACUACCCUAGCUGAGUGGUCUCCUUCUUCCUUAUUUCUCGCUAGCUACUUCCUCUUACUCAAAAACUCCAUUAAGUUUCUUUAAUGGAAUCCAAAGGCUAUACCCAAGAUGGCACUGUGGAUCUUCGCGGCCGUCCUGUCCUUGCCUCCAAAACUGGCAAAUGGAAGGCUUGUGCCUUCCUAGUUGGUAAUCAAUUAAUUGUCUUCUCUUCUCCUCUCUUGUCAAUCUUGCAGUUUGCAUUCAUUUUCUUUGUAUGUUCUUUCUUGCAAGCUAUACUUCCUUUUCUUUUCUUUUAUGGCUACUUAAGGUUCUUAUUAAUAGCUAGUUUUAGAGCUAAACUUGUUUGAGUUAAGCAGCUCAUUGGUUUGGUUUUGCAAGAUUAAUUAUUGGUUGCGUUCAUGAGAGAAUCUCUCCUUAAUCAUAAUUUAUUAAUCACACAAAGAUCACUGAAACGUAAAGCAACCAUUAAUUAUCUUACCGAAUAUAUACUGAUCAGAUGUUUCAAAGAUUGAAUCUAAUCUUCAGUAUCUUCUCUUUUCUUACCCAGUUCUCCCCUUAUCAUUGGCUCUUACUGCUCUCUAUAUAUAAAAUACAACAAGUGUGUGUGCAUGAUGUAACUUUAAGUUGAAGACUAGAGCAAAGUUUGAAGAAAGUUCUUAACUUUUAACAAUAUAUUCUUUCAAGUGAUAUCGAAAUAAUGAUAUUUUAAUCAAGAACAUGAAAAAGUAGUAUGCUUUUGUUUAGUUGCUUAUAUACAAAUAUAAUUGAACAGGGUAUGAAGCAUUUGAGAGGAUGGCUUUCUAUGGAAUAGCUUCAAAUUUAGUGAACUACUUGACGACCCAACUUCAUGAAGACACAGUUUCAUCAGUGAGGAAUGUGAACAACUGGUCAGGAUCAGUGUGGAUCACGCCAAUCCUUGGUGCCUACAUAGCAGAUACUUUCAUGGGUCGAUAUUGGACUUUCACUGUGUCCUCUCUUUUUUAUGUCAUGGGAAUGAUACUACUGACAAUGGCUGUUUCACUCAAGUUCAUGAGGCCAACAUGCAUAAAUGGAGUAUGCAACAAGGCUUCUGGUUCACAAAUUGCAUUCUUCUACUCAGCUCUCUACAUUAUAGCAAUAGGUGCAGGAGGGACAAAGCCUAACAUAUCAACUUUUGGUGCAGACCAGUUUGAUGAUUUUAACCCCCAUGAAAAAGAGCUUAAGGUCUCAUUCUUUAACUGGUGGAUGUUUAGCUCUUUUUUGGGAGCUCUAUUUGCCACUCUUUGUCUUGUUUACAUCCAAGAGAACAUGGGAUGGGGUUUAGGGUAUGGUAUCCCUACAGUUGGCCUUCUAUUAUCCUUAUUUAUAUUCUAUUUAGGGACUCCACUUUACAGGCACAAAGUUAGAAAGACCAAGAGCCCUGCAAGGGAUCUAAUUCAAGUACCCAUUGCUGCCUUUAGAAACAGGAAGCUUGAGCUCCCUAGUGAUCCCUCAGAUCUUUAUGAAUUUGGGCUCCAACAUUAUAUUGAUAGCGGAAAACGGCAAGUCCAUCACACCCCAAUUUUCAGGUGCUUGGACAAAGCUGCCAUAAAAGGUGUCAAUACAAGUGCGUCAAGCGCACCCUGCACAGUGACUCAAGUGGAAGGAACCAAGCUUGUUGUUGGGAUGAUACUGAUAUGGCUAGUGACCUUAAUUCCAAGCACCAUAUGGGCUCAAAUCAACACUCUUUUUGUCAAACAAGGCACCACCUUGGACCGUAGCCUUGGCCCUAAUUUUAAAAUCCCAGCUGCUUCGCUGGGGAGCUUUGUGACACUCUCCAUGCUCCUCUCUGUCCCAAUGUAUGACCGUUGCUUUGUUCCUUUCAUGCGUAAGAAAACUGGGAACCCAAGAGGAAUCACACUACUUCAAAGGCUUGGAAUUGGAUUUGUUAUCCAAGUUAUUGCCAUUGCAAUUGCUUAUGCAGUUGAAGUUAGAAGAAUGCAUGUGAUAAGGCUACAUCACAUUAUGGGGACAAAAGAAAUUGUCCCUAUGAGCAUAUUUUGGCUAUUGCCUCAAUAUGUGCUAUUAGGAGUUGCAGAUGUGUUUAAUGCUAUUGGGUUGCUAGAAUUCUUCUAUGACCAAUCUCCUGAAGACAUGCAAAGCCUGGGAACCACUUUCUUCACUAGUGGGAUUGGAGUUGGAAACUUCUUGAACAGCUUUUUAGUGACAAUGGUUGACAAGAUCACAGGAAGAGGUAGCAAGAGUUGGAUUGGCAACAACUUGAAUGAUUGCCACUUGGAUUACUAUUAUGGUUUCCUUUUGAUUAUAUCCACUCUCAACUUGGGAGCCUUUGUGUGGGCAUCAAGUAGGUUCAUAUACAAGAAGGAAAUCAUAAAAGUGAAUGAGAGUUGUGUCCAACUGGAAGAGAAGACCUUGGACACAUCUCCUCUAGGUUUACAAGUAUAAUUAAGAGAUUAAACCAUAAUUAAUUAAUUAAUCAACAUCAUCCUCCUUGUAAGAUAUGAGUGUUAAUUUUAGGUUCUUGUUACUUUUAACUAGGAUCCUAUAAAUAAAUUUGUAUGUUCUAAUUGCCACAGAUUCCACUCUUUAUAACAUACAUUUUCCUGUUGUUCCCAUUGAUUAAAUGAUCCAAUUAAUGUUAUGUUUGGGCCCUCAAGAGGCCCACAUGUUUAGUAGUAAAGCCCAAUGGGCCCAGAAGGUCAUAGUUCUUGUCAUAGCCCAAAUAUAAUCCAAACUAAUGGGCUAAGGUCUAAUCUAUC
rnacentral:misc_RNA from 1 species